rnacentral:rRNA from 1 species
GACGAACGCUGGCGGCAUGCCUUACACAUGCAAGUCGAACGGCAGCACGGGUGCUUGCACCUGGUGGCGAGUGGCGAACGGGUGAGUAAUACAUCGGAACGUACCUUAUCGUGGGGGAUAACGCAGCGAAAGCUGUGCUAAUACCGCAUACGCCCUGAGGGGGAAAGCGGGGGAUCGAAAGACCUCGCGCGACUAGAGCGGCCGAUGCCUGAUUAGCUUGUUGGUGGGGUAAAAGCCCACCAAGGCGACGAUCAGUAGCUGGUCUGAGAGGACGAUCAGCCACACUGGGACUGAGACACGGCCCAGACUCCUACGGGAGGCAGCAGUGGGGAAGUUUGGACAAUGGGGGCAACCCUGAUCCAGCAAUGCCGCGUGAGUGAAGAAGGCCUUCGGGUUGUAAAGCUCUUUUGUCAGGGAAGAAACACCGGCUCUAACACAGUCCGGGAAUGACGGUACCUGAAGAAUAAGCACCGGCUAACUACGUGCCAGCCGCCGCGGUAA